AGUCGAUGCUUUCUCUUGUUCCAUCUAAAGCACACGGUAUUUUCUUACUCUUCUAUUAUUACAUCGAAGGCUAACAGCGUCUCGUGAUAUGCAACAAACUCGAUCGUUUUGCGCAAAGCUGUUGAAGCAUAGGUGACUCGAUAAUCCCAUCUGGCUGAAUGACGCGCACGAUACAGUUUGGUGAAUUCGUCAGCAAGUAAGAAUUCCUCGUAGCCGUUUCAAUUAAUAAUAAUGACUGACAGAAGCCUGAAGAACAAGCUCUUAAAAUCUCCGCCCUUGUCAUAAUUACAAGAACUCGUAGUUGCUGAGUGAAAAAUUUCCAUGCAAAGCUGCCAACCACCAGAAUGUGAUAUCCGUAUGAUUGGCUUCGGGUACGAAUAAUGUCUUUGAACUAAAGUAAGCAAGCAAUAAAGCAGGAUGACGUAAACUAGGCAAGAACUUACCGCUCAUCCUGGUGUAUAUCGUCCUCCUUUUUCUCCAUCCUGCUUUUCCUAUGAAUAUUCCCCGCGUGCAUCUUUUUCUCUAGUUCUUACGCCAUUGUGACGAGACGACGCGACGCCAGAAACGAGGCUGUCUUCGUUCGUAUCGCGUUUUAUCUUCGCUCGUAAACUUCGAUUUCCAAUUAACGAUGUGCCGUUCACGAUCCAAGGACGAGACGGUGUGAAUUUCUUCUUCGGCCGAGUUGGCGAACCGAGUUCACGGGAUAGGAACAUAGAUUCCGCCGUACGGCCUAUUGAAUCCAUUUGGAAUUUUUACUGUAGAGAGAGAGAGAGAGAGAGAGAGAGAGAGAUUUAAUUGAGCUUUUCGAUGUAAAAAAGUGGAUCCGGUUGGUGGUGAAUGGCAAUGAUCAUUCGAGGGGAAAAUGAAAUGGGAAAUUGUUGGACAUGCCUUAGUGGAGCAAUUUCAACCCUUUCGCUAUGGGAACGUUAAAAGGACAGCAACUGUUGCGAAAUAGAAUUAUACAAGAUGCUGUAAUUGUUUGUUGGAAUAAUGGAAUGUAUAUCUUUUCUAAAUUGCUUUUACGAAAUUUAUUUUAACAGCUUGAAGGCGCGUUGUCAAAUUACUUGGAAAUUAGCGAGCGUAAAAUCUCUCUGAUCGUUUAAUAUUAGAACGUACCCCUUUAAAUUGCAAAAAUAGACCGGUUUAGCGAUUAAUACAAAUCAGCUGUAGGCAAGUUUAUAAAUUACCAACUCUACCUGCUAACGUUGGCCAACUGAAACGUGUUAGAAACGUUUGAUGUUUGAGCGUAAUUGCGUCACAUUUUCGUGACCGUUUGGUAACGUUUUCUUUCGCGAACGUCGAUGAAAUUUUUACGGGCCGAUUCGUCGAAACAUCGACUCCCUAGAAACCGUAUAGAAAUCGUAUCUGAUCGAACAACGAUAUCAUCGUUGCACACGAAACACGGAAUCGCAAUCCUUUAGGGCAUGAAUUUCGGUAUUAACGGAGAAAAGAAACUCGUUAACCUGAACGUGAAGUUGAUAUUAUCAUUGUGUAUUAGGAGGAAGGUAGGAAAAAUAUAUGACAGGUUAUAGAAGUAAAAUGGUUUGUACAGGACAUUUGUUGCAGCGCAUGAAGAUAAAAGGUUUACUGCCUUUUAAUGAAAUCACCAGGCUAUAAAUCUAAAUUACCUAUUAAAAAACAUGGCAAUAAUAUAUUUUGCUAUUUAUUACGUGUACUAUCGCAUACACUCGCUAUUUAGAUAUCAUUAGUCGUCUUAACGUUACAAGUCUUUCUAACGUUAGCACCGCUUUUAAUCUAACUUAAUAGACAUACUAAUCGCAGUGGAAAGUUUUGCAUUGUCCGGCAAAUUCGAUCAUCCUAUCAGCUAUAUAAUAGUUUGCAGCCUUUUUAUAGUACACUGACGCAGUAGCAAAAUGUGCAAUUACACUUUUUUUUUUUUUUUUUAAUGGAACCCUACAAUUUUUCUUUCGUUCAAAUUCAAUUUAUUAAAUCGAUUCCCCGUAUCAUCCUGCGUACAAAAGAUAAUAAUAGGCUUCUGAUGUAGAAAUGAACUUUCAAAGAAGCAAAGGUCAGCUGACUAACGGAUACCGUACAACGUAUUUAGAGAAACGACUAUUGCGUUGGCGUUUACGAUAAAUAACGAUGUCGUGAGAAGGAGAUAUCCAACAAUGUUGCCGCAGAAUUUUAUAAAAGCACGACUUUUUAAUUUUAUGAUUCGUUUGGACAGGUGGUUGUACGAAGCUUCGUACGAUCUCAGCAACCAUCUAUUUUUAUAAUUUACCAAAUUACCAAGCAACCUAAUUUUCUAAAUAUCCAGUGCAUUGACAAUUAGAGGGUCCUCUUGUUUGUAUGAUCGAUUCGUAUUCUACAAAAAUUUACGAUCGCAAUAAUCGAUAUUUUGUGAAAGACGUAUACAUUCUAAGGUAACUUUGGUCUCAAGAUUAUCGUAAAGUAUACAUGAACCGCUUACGAAAUUUAAUUACUCGCGAGUAAUUAUAAACGCUUAGAAAAUUAGUACUUCUCCUUGCUAUUCUUGUUUUACAAUUAUUCAAUUUUCGUUUCCCUUUUCGCAACCAGCUUAAUAACCACUUUCAUAAUGUUUCACGAGACCGACCAUAAAAGAUUUACAUUUACUCUAUAUAAUUUGAAUGAAUAUUUCACGAAACUUUCUAUUAAUUACAGCAACAAUAGCCUACUCGUAAAUCGAUAUUAGAAUUACAAAUCUACGAGUUCUCAUUGCCUAAGGUAAAUAGAAUACUAAAUUUAAAGAAGCUGGAAAUUUGUUCACGAUCAUUCGUAUGACCGUAAACCUUUUUUCAAUUUCUUUCUCCAAAAUAUUCUAUGCUAUAAGAUCUGAAACUAUACUAAAUCUACGAAAAAUCUUCACCUUGCAAAUAAAUAAAAUAUCGAUAUAGAAAAAGUUAGAUUCCCAUCUAAGAUUACUGGCACGAGUAAAAUAUUAACGCGAUAUUUCUAAUAUCUUUCAAAAUAUUUUAUCCUACGCAAGCUGAACAAGCGUUCGCGAAGAUCGGUUGCGAAAUCUAUUUAAUUUUCACGAAAUUUACCUAUCGUUUGAACAAUUUCUCAUUACACGCCGCGUUUCACGGUGGCUAUGACUUUUACGAACUCUUACGGACAUAAAGAAAAACCGUGAUUUUUAGAAAAUUUACCACGCCGUUUACGAUCGUCGCUGUUUCGCAAACGACACUGUGCAAGAAUUUCAACCAAGUUUUAUGAAUUCGAGCGCAACUUUCGAGGAAUUCCCCGUCGUGCUUUUACGAUUCCACAAUCGAUUCGAUCGGACAUUUUUACGAACUAACAUGAAAUGUACAUGAUUUUCAAAAAAUUUAUUCCUCGUCUUACUCUCUAUAUCGCGAUCAUUCGCAAAGCAUUUAUGGUUUCAUACAGGAGACAAUUUACGGCUCUGUUGAAAUAUACGUCGUAAUCUUGCUAUUAUUUUUGCGUAAUUUCGUACCAACGAUGUGUCGUUUAAAUUGUUAACCAAUCGAGAAAAAAAAAAGAUCUUCAAACAUAUUUUUUCGCAUUCACGUCGCAUUUUUCCUGUGGCUUCCAGUUAGCGGUUAGAACAGUCGGUUUCUACAAAACGCUCGGUUUCUCUAAAAACAACGUCCACUCUCUUUGCAUCUUCAUUCGCGGUUGGAAAAUUAGACCAACAAACACGGUGUAUUUUCAAUUUUUCCUCGCACUUUCCUCCAACUUCUAGCCUAAAGCCUUGCAAAGUUGAUCGACGAACAGAGUUUAGAAAUGUUCAGGACCACGUUCGUACGUGUUUCGCGAAUCGUUCAGACUUCCGGCUAUCACGCCGUACAUAUAUGGAAGGCAAUCUUCUCGAAGAAUCGUUCGGAAAAGUUGCUUCUGUUGCAAAGGACGUCGCUCUAUUUGUGGUCAUUCCUCUUGCGGUCGCGGAAAACUGGUAGCGGUUGUGGUUAAGCGGACGAUUUGACGGAUACUGCGAGACAAUGUUAUUCGCAGCGGCUUCGCUUGUGGUCAUGAGAUUAGUGUGCAACUUACACACAGGUUUUGGAAUUGUUUCUCUGCGGAUUGAUUUUAUGCAGGUAGAUUUAGUUUCGUCGGGAAUCAGCCUAAGUGUCUUGUAGAUUGCCAGUGUUGGUGGCAUUCGUGGGGUUUAGAGGUGCGUUUCGUGUGCCAAACGUUUAAGUACAUUUUUCUUCUCGACUAUUUCGUUCCACGUAUAAGCAUUUCGACUUUGUGGUUACGUAUAACGGCGAGUAUGUCAAUACGGAAGAUAUGGAAUUCUACUAAAUUCAGAUUGAGUUAGGUCGUUAUUAUUAGACGAAAUAAAAAUUUGGAAAUUAUUUCGCAUUUGUGCUGCUUCGAGGUACAUGUGUGCAUUUUGUAGGACUUCAGUGUAUUUAAAAGUCGUCUUUCUAUUUUAUACAAGAAGAGAUAAAGAUCAAACUUUUCGAGAUCAAAGAGAUCAAAUUUAAUUCGGUUUGGAGAACACUGUGAUGGAAGAUAAAUUUUAGUGAAAAAUCCUGUACGCAAUUCAUAAAAUCCUCUACAUAAAUACGAAGCUUAGGUAUCAUUUCCUAUAUAUUUAUCUCGUAAGGGAAGGGGAAAGUAUUUCGUAUCGCUUUUUUCCCACGAAGUAUCUCGUGUUAUUUUCAAAGGAUAUUCUACGUGAAAUAGAAAUUUUGCAGAUUGAUAGCGAAUGUCCCUUCUUUCUCCCGUUUCCUUCUCCUUUGCUCACGCUAUUAUUCAGUAGUUAUAAAUCUUCUUCAAACACUGACAUCCUCUGCCAACUUCCUUUGCACGCACCUGCCUCGAUCUACCCAAGAUUUAUCACCGCGCCUAUCACUGUUUCAACCACUAACAGCCUUUCACGACGGCAAAUUACCCUAAUCUGAUCCACAUUCGCAAGUGGAACAUCGGCGACCAGCAACGACCCCAAAGUCUAUCGUUCGAAUCCUCGAACAUAGCAAAUUUUAUCUCGCGCGUAAUGGAACCGGUCCGUUUUAUCGGUUAUUGAUAAUUUACUACCUUGUAGUUAUCAAGCCGCAAUUUCGCGGCUCUUCGUCGCGAGCCAACAGAACCAACUAGUUGGUCUAGCCGAGAGACGUACGGAGAUUAAAAUUUUCAGAACGAUUUCCUUUCCGGGUUAUGUUUCUUUUCGUUUCUACCGGUCGCUCGCACCGUUUCGCUAGUUUCCGCAAAAAAAGAAAGGAAAAUGUUCCAUAAUCGACCGAGCAGGUAUCGUUUUCUCGCAGGUGCACGCGAUGGUAUCGUAGAUCGGUGCUCGUAACUUUGUCAGAAACUGCCUAUCGAGAAUAACAGAAGGCAACUCGCCUGGCCUUUGAAGUAUAGUUGCAGGUGAGAUUUCCAUUGAUCUUCUAGCUGCCUGCUGCUACGUUUCACCGGUAUCAUUAGUCAGUUUUAUGAACUAAAUCGUGACAGAGAGGAAACCGAUACGACCGUGACACUUUGGUCCGGAGAUCGCGACCGAUCGCCAUAGGAAUUCGACCAGCUAGCGAUUUACUGUUUCUCAUCGUGAAAUAUUAUCAAUAGCGUUCUACACGCCGACCGUUCUUUACCGAUUCGGUCGGAUAAUGUCAAGGUAAUUGCUGAUCGAAGGAUAGGCAUCGGUCGCUCUUUAACUUCUUCCAUUCCAUCGCCUUUGCCUCGCAGCGAUUAUCCUCUUCGAGAUAACGCGUGAACGAUAAUUAACUGUGGAGCGUACGUUUCCGUAUAGUUGACAUUUUCAAUGGUCCAAGUGGUCCGCAUUUGAAAUUUAAUCGAUAAAUUAGAAGGAUCAUAAAAUCCACUCGACAUCGACAUCUGUCAACGAGAUGCUGGAAAUGGCCGCGAAAGACGAGAAAAUUCCAGGAAAAGAUGUAUCAACGUCAUCCAGAGCAUCGUUUAUGAUAUUCACUGAAACCAGACUGCUCUCAACUCGCGCGUUUCUUCCAUCCACGUUACAUCCAGUAGCCGAACGUUAAUGUAGCAGAGUUCCUGCUAAGUUUUCUCGUUGAUCGAGUGGCUGACAUUAUCGAAGGGUGAUGUGGUAAUUCGCCGAGCCUGCUAUUAAUGACGCGUAGCCAAUUUACCAUUGCAGGCUGCCAUGACGAUUGCAAGGUGACCAGUGACGUCGAGGUCCGUUACUUUCGUUCUAACGAUAUCUCGUUGCACUAACGACGGGAAAUUCUUUCCAUCUUUUCUUCCAGUCUAUGGGAGGGAAGACGCGCUUCGCGUCAUCCACGAUGAAUUAGUCAACUGGCAAGAACGUGUUGCUGGCUGAUUGCUGCCUCGGUUAGCGGCGAGAUAACUCUCUCGUUGUUAGUGUGUUAUCGACUCGUAAUUCGAAGGUGGGCUGUUAACGCGAUCGGUCUUCGCUUCGCUGUGUUUUCCAAUUUAUCUUUCCCGGAACUCGAAUCUUUUCUAUCGUCGCUUUUCAUAAAAAAAAUCGCGAAAAAAUAGGAAAAGAGUCACCUAUGCUUCGCCGUAUAAUCUUUUCUUUUAUCCUCGUACGCACUCCGACAACAAUUUCAAGAAUUAAUUAGCAAACGGGUAGUCACAAGGUCUAAAUAACCAUGACACCAUGCGCGUGGUCGUACCAAAUGGAACCAAAGUAAAAUCUGAAGAAGGCGACCCAUUGCCGUUAAACGCACAUUACCAUCGAAACCAAAAAUUGGAUGUUUUCUACGAAGCUAACGACACCGAUGGAAAUUAACGAGGUAGCGCCAACGACCUCAGAGGAUAACAUCCGAAUUCCGAAAUGGGAAUUGCUAUCGAGCGAUCGACGAAUCGAUGACAGUUCUGCGAAUUUCUACGAAUUUUAUGAGAAGCGAAGCCUCGUUUCUCGCGAGUGUAAUCAGUUCGACAACGUCGUACCGUGACUUAGCGAACGUUGCUUUAGCAAAUUUCAAAAGUAAAAAAAGAUACGAGAGCGGUAAUUGAAAAGGAAAAGAAAAGAAAAAUCGAGACAAGGAGAAAUCGUACAACGAAAGAAACUAUCGCGAUUUCACGAUGAAGUCGAUGUCCAUGUGCCGAGUGGGAGUUCCAGGAAAGCCCCCGACGUAUAAAUAUUCUAAUUAAGCGCAUAAUUAGCGAACAGCGAUGAAUUAUCGUAAACGCCGGCCAAACGUAUUUUCAUACGUUAUCGCGGCAACAAUAUCUUGUCCCGAUAUCUCUUUAUCGAUUUAAUUAAGCCGAACUACUUGGAACACGCCUGUCGGAAAACGUACAGCCGCUGACUCGAUCAUAGCAACUCGCUUAAUUGACUCAUUCUUGACUAUCGCCACUAGGAACACAGUUGCGAUCGAACGUUAUUCGAUUUGGCUGGCUAGAUAUCUGAUAACGACGUCUGUUCGUGCAUUUGCAAGUUUGUAAGGUUUAAACGAAGGCCAUUCGGAGAGAACAUUAUCUCGUUGUUUAAAGGUUAAGCAAAAUAGCGAAGAGGGAAGUGAAAAUGCAACUUGUGUGGUAUUAAUGGAGAGCGUAAAUUUUAAUUGGAAUUAAUGUGGCUGCAAGGUAUUUCUAUCGUUAUUUUUCCUUUUCCUUUUCUUUUCUUUCUUUUUUUUUUUUUUUUUUUCUUUGGUGCGUGAAACCUGGCUCGAUGUGAAUUAUUGCACAGGUGUCUUUGGAAAAUUUGUUUCGUAACGCUGGCGAUUUCAGUGUAACGAAAAAUGAUACCAGACAGAGUAUUUUCGCGUUAUGUUGUUUCCACAUCGAGUUUCUUUCUUUAUUCUCAAAUAUUCGCAAUUGUAUUUAUAAGAAAAGCUAUUACCAAUUAUAUCUAAAAUGUUAAAUACAAAUAUUCUUUGUAAAUUUCUCUUUUAAAUACUCGGUACAUUUUACGUCUUACAUAGGCGAUCCGAUAAUUUACAAUUACCAUAUGUCGUGUGAGUCGAUGAACUUUGUUCGUUACAAACAUGGUUUCAAAAUCUCUUGAAAUUAGUUGCGGUAUUAUCUUUCAUUUAUACGACGUAUCUACACCGUACCCUUUGUCGCGAAUUCUAAGUGUGACACGAGCAACGACUCUAAUUAUUCAGGAAUGAAAACUGUCCGCAAUGGGCCGACUUAUGACAUUUCAAACAGCAUAAAAUGAACUACGAGGGAGCAGUCUUAUGUAAAAUUCAUCGAUAUCGUUCGAUGCGCACCAAAUAUUUUAACCUCGUUAAAGUUUACUGUUUAGAAAACGAGAUGCUCAAAUUCUUUCCGUACGGUUUAUGAAUAAUCGCUGGUAGAACAACGUGUAAACUUCACCGAUAGUAUCAGAACUAAAUCAGGAUGAGCAUCGUGCGUUUAUAAAUUGUUACAUUAGAAGAAAUGUUUUAGUCUAACAGUUUGAACGCUAAUUCGAUUAACGGGUUGACUGCAGCUCGAAUUUGAUGUAUUUUAUUUUGUCAGCCGCGACACAUCGAAAUAUAUCGUACCACAACGUUUCAAGUAACAGCAGCAGCAGCUUGAAAGAGGAAUAAGGCAGAAACAGAAGAGAAACGCGUGCAAUGGACGGCGCUCCAAUUAAUGGGCCGGUCCAAGGCGGUCAGAAAAAAACGUCAUCGAGUUCUAUUUACGAGCUGUUCUUUAAAAUCGCGUUAGUCGAAGCCCGUGGCACGGACACCAUUGACGGCAACCAUACGCUUCUUGGGGCCUGAUAUGAUGAGAGCCGCCUUAUAAGGGUUACAACCGGUGUUUAAAGUCACCAGCGGCGCGGCUUUCACCAAUUUAAAGUCAGAUUGCGACCCACCCGGCUUCUAAUCGCCUCUCAUCUAUACACACAGAGAAUCGUACGCCCGUAAUCGAUCCGCCGAUUUCGCCUUGUAGCCAAGAAGACGGCUGUGAUUCGUUGCUUUGCUAUUGUGUCGUUCUAAUUGGCCUGGUUCUUUAAUCAGAUCGAUCCUUUUAAUUAACUUGUUGUUCAGACGCUUAUAGAGAACGAGCUGAAAGUAACGAAUAAAAGACGAAAGCCUCGGAAUUCCUGCCUUUAGAUACGAACGAUUUAUGUAUUUUAUGAGCCAUUGACGAAUGUCUAUAAUUCAAGAGAGGAGAACGAAUCUACACGUUAGAACAAAUAAGAAACUUCAUAUGAACGUACGUAAUGGAUGCGAUUAACCUUGCGAAUUUGAACAAAAAUGUCUAAUCUGUCGGCUCGGGAAGUCUAGAGACACCAAGAGGAAAAUAAUUGAGACACAUGUAAUAUAUGCUGCAAUUUCAGUCGUUCGAUCGCGAAAAGUUUGAUUAUCCGAUUUCUCGGUGAUUAAGCAGUUCGGAUAGUCAAGGCUCUAUUGUACAUUUAUUGAUACGAGAAAGAAAAGUAUCGAGGAACGUGGUGAAAUCUCGGAACGAUGUAUUCGUCCCGGUUGGUCCCAGGAAUUUUUCAACGACAUCCGCGGCCCAUUGUGGUUGACUAAUAUACCGCUACAGCGCGUUAACCUUCCAAAGGUAGGAGGAAGGUGCGCCACACCCCCGUCUCUCUUUCGCCGUGAACCACGAGAGCAACGAGAGAUACAGCAACAAUGGCCUCCGUAGAUGGAAGAUUGCACGGAAAGGUGCAACGUUCACGUGCAAAGGUCGCCACGGUUGAAUCGGGUAAACGAGGAUAAUGUCGUGGCCCGACUAUCAUAGGUGAAUUUUAUUGCCGUGAAAAAGAAGGCUUGCCGCAUCUUAGACGCGUCUGCAUGCGAGAUCUGCUCGGACCGUGAGCCUAUUGUCCGCGAAUAGAAAGAAAGAAAGUCUUUCGUGCAACGCUAGGAUCUAAAUCGGUCGAGAACGUUGUGUGCGAAUUGCGAGGUCGUUUUUCCUUUUUUUUUUUUUUCUUUUUGUUUCAGAUCGUCUGGAUUGUUCCGUACAUUUUUGCUACACUUUGUUGUAGAGUGAGAGUUGCACAGAAUUAAUUUCCUUCGAUUGGAAUGUACACAGGUGCAUACGAAUAUUCAACGGUUUCUAUGUGGAUAAUAAACGAAAGCCAUUCAGACUUUUCGCAACUUGUCGAAUUAAAUUGUUGCAAGAAUGUAUGAAAAAUUUCAAACACGAUAGUACAUCGUACUAAAGCUACUCUGUAAACGUGAUGGAAAAGUAAAGAAAUGUGAUGUUUGAGACGUGAUAUUUACACACAAGUCGGUAUAACGUUAUACUUAGAGCCGCGUAACAAAGUCUAAUCGAUGUAAAUUAAAUCGUAAACGAAUAACGAAAUUUCACGUAGCGAAAUUAUUUACAAUUCGCUUAUUCAAUCUAAAAGUGCAAUCUUAGUAUCUAUAUACGAAACGAUAGAUCGUAAUGUAUACGUGAAGUUAUUCGCAUUAUUUCACUCUCUUUCGUAACGUGCCCAAACUGUGUACAAAUGCAAUAUGGGACGCGUUACCUUACGCGUUUACGGGACAAGAUCCUUAAGGAUUAUUAAUGCGUACCAUCGUUUACGCCAAAUAAAAAUCCAAGAAGUUCGUGAGAACGUAACAUUUUCAGCAACUCUAAUAACGUAUCUUAACAUUGCUAUCUUCUUCUACUUCUUCUUCCUCUUUGGCUAAUUCUCGACACGUUGAAGAGAUUACAAUAAGGAGAGAGAGAGAGAGAGAGAGAGAGAGAGAGAAAGAAAGAAAGAAGAAAUAUUGUUAAUUGUUCCUUGAAAUAAACUGUGAAGGAUGUUAACGACUUGAAUAAGCAAUGGAGGCUGAAGCGAAUUUCCUCUCGGCACAGAAUCGAUUCCCGCCAACUGCGAUUCAUCAACGACAAUCGUUACUCGUGAUUCGCUUAAUCGUAAGCAUAAUUAUAUCGUUACCGCGUGAUUCAACGACGACAGACGUUGAGAGAGCCGUCGCGCCGAUUUGUUCACGUCGAAUAAUACUCAAGGUACCGUUGUAUUAUAAAACGAUCCCUUCCAAUUACGCUGCACUGCGUUCUUAAUUUAACGUUACUCCCCCAUGUGUUUAUAGAUAUAUACAUAUGUUAUAGAUAAAUAUAUAUAUAUAUAUAUAUAUGUAUCAUCUUUUUCUCUCACACCCUAUACCUUAGUUAAUAGGAAGCCUAAUCUUAAAGGACAACGGAGAACUUUGAUAUUGUUGGCCGUUGUCGAGAUGGCAAACCCAAUUCCAAGGUUACCAUGGUAACGAGAUAUAUCUGUUACGAGAUACUUUCAAUAUAAAUAAAUAAUUAAACGAAUAAACUAAAUAAUACUCAAACGGGGCUGCACGAUGCCCGAUGAAAAGAAAGCGACAGGCCAAGCUCGCGCUUUAUUACUCAUAAAUGGAUUCUUCUUUCUCAUUGAAUUAUAUGGUAAUUAAACGAAGAUUAACGAAAGAAAGGAACUUUAAUAAAGAAUCUCGACUAUAUGUAUAUAGGAAACUGUACGUGUUGGCCUAUCCAGUACAAAAGACAGAUCGUUAUAAUAUUAUAGAUCACAGAUUAUUGUGUUAUGUGAAUAAUUACAUUUUAUGUUGUUAACGAAGUCGUAAUAUAUAUAUAUAUACACACGCACACACACACACACACACACACACAUGUUUCUAUACGUAUACAGAUACAUAUACACAUAUGUAUGCAUUUAACGUUAACACAGCUCUCUCUCUCUCUCUCUUCUUUUUUCUUAAAUUUCUUUUCUCUAUCUUUCCCUGCUCCAUCUCGUUUUACUCUUGUCUCUUUCUCUGUUUCUUACCUUUCUACUUGUUUGCUCUCGCCAUGCAGCUGGAGAAGACUACUUGUAGAGGAUCGUUUUUGUUUUGUACUUAAGCGUGCUCGUACGCACCCGAACUAUGUUUUGUACCACGUGAAGAAUGGCAAUAAAGUAGUUGACCAAUUCCUUUUUUUAA